rnacentral:rRNA from 1 species
GAUGAACGCUGGCGGCGUGCCUAAUACAUGCAAGUCGAGCGAACAGACGAGGAGCUUGCUCCUCUGACGUUAGCGGCGGACGGGUGAGUAACACGUGGAUAACCUACCUAUAAGACUGGGAUAACUUCGGGAAACCGGAGCUAAUCCCGGAUAAUAUAUUGAACCGCAUGGUUCAAUAGUGAAAUACGGUUUUGCUGUCACUUAUAGAUGGAUCCGCGCCGCAUUAGCUAGUUGGUAAGGUAACGGCUUACCAAGGCAACGAUGCGUAGCCGACCUGAGAGGGUGAUCGGCCACACUGGAACUGAGACACGGUCCAGACUCCUACGGGAGGCAGCAGUAGGGAAUCUGCCGCAAUGGGCGAAAGCCUUACGGAGCAACGCCGCGUGAGUGAUGAAGGUCUUCGGAUCGUAAAACUCUGUUAUUAGGGAAGAACAAAUGUGUAAGUAACUAUGCACGUCUUGACGGUACCUAAUCAGAAAGCCACGGCUAACUACGUG